UGGGUUAUUAGCUCAGUUGGCAGAGCAGCUGACUCUUAAUCAGCGGGUCGAGGGUUCGAGCCCCCCAUAACCCAU
rnacentral:tRNA from 1 species